AGAGAUCAAAAGAUACAAUGGUGGAGGGGUCGGAAAGCAAGCGAGAAAGUCCAAUAACUUCGAAAAAUAGGGGGAGGAAUGAAUCUUCAAAAUAAGAUGCCACUGUAAAGAAGAAAUAGAGGACAAAAAGCUUGGUUUCAAAAAGGCAAGUUUACAGAAGAAAACAUGAAUAAAAGAAAUAAGAAGAGAUUGAAGAAAAGGAAAAUACUGAAAGUGAAGAAGAGGAACAAGGAGAAGAAGAUGAACAUGAAGAAGAAGAUAAACAAGGAGAAGAAGAUAACAAUGGAGAAGGGGGAGGGGGAGACAGCGGUAGAUGAAGAUUCCAGUUUAUGGACGAGUGAACAAAAUGAAGA